UGCAUCGCUCUGCUCUGUAAUGGGAUGGGAUCUGAAGCCCCAGUGAGGGAUAAUACAGGCUCUCCCAUCCAACUCCUAUUCCGACACGUCCUCGUCUUGCAGAGUGGUAACAUGUGUCACCGCAUAUCCUAGCUUGGGUACACGGUAGGCAUGGGCAAAACGAUUCUU
rfam:Anopheles gambiae M scf_1925492141 genomic scaffold, whole genome shotgun sequence.